AAGUCGAGCGGCGGGGGGGAGAGAUUCCUCCUGGAGCGGCGGACUGGUGAGUAACGCGUAGGCGACCUGCCCGUUGGUCGGGGACAGCCGCUAGAAAUAGCGGGUAAUACCGGAUGAGGUCGCGCGGGUGGAGCCGCGCGAAGAAAGGAGCCAAGGCUCCGCCAAUGGAUGGGCCUGCGUCCGAUUAGCUUGUUGGCGGGGUAAGAGCCCACCAAGGCGAUGAUAGGUAGCCGGCCUGAGAGGGUGGACGGCCACAUUGGGACUGAGAUACGGCCCAAACUCCUACGGGAGGCAGCAGCUAAGAAUAUUCCGCAAUGGACGAAAGUCUGACGGAGCGACGCCGCGUGGACGAGGGAGGCCGAAAGGUUGUAAAGUUCUUUUCCGGUCGAGGAAUAAGCGGGGGAGGGAAUGCCCCCGCGAUGACAGUAGGCUGGGAAUAAGCCCCGGCUAAUUACGUGCCAGCAGCCGCGGUAACACGUAAGGGGCGAGCGUUGUUCGGAAUUAUUGGGCGUAAAGGGCGCGUAGGCGGCUGGGCAAGUCGGGUGUGAAAGGCGGAGGCUCAACCUUCGGACAGCACCGGAAACUGCCCGGCUAGAGUCAGUGGGGUGAGGCUGGAAUUCCGAGUGUAGGGGUGAAAUCUGUAGAUAUUCGGAAGAACACCGGUGGCGAAAGCGAGCCUCAAACGCAUGGCUGACGCUGAGGCGCGAAAGUGCGGGGAGCGAACAGGAUUAGAUACCCUGGUAGUCCGCACUAUAAACGAUGCACACUAGGUGUUGGGCCGAGCGGCUCAGUGCCGAAGCGAACGUGAUAAGUGUGCCGCCUGGGGAGUAUGCCCGCAAGGGUGAAACUCAAAGGAAUUGACGGGGGCCCGCACAAGCGGUGGAGCAUGUGGUUUAAUUCGAUGAUACGCGAGGAACCUUACCUGGGUUUGACAUGGGGAGCGACGGAGCGGAGACGCUUCGGCCGAGCGAUCGGGCUCUCCACAGGUGCUGCAUGGCUGUCGUCAGCUCGUGCCGUGAGGUGUUGGGUUAAGUCCCGCAACGAGCGCAACCCCUACCGCCAGUUGCUAACAGGCGACGCUGAGGACUCUGGCGGAACUGCCGGUGACAAACCGGAGGAAGGCGGGGAUGACGUCAAGUCAUCAUGGCCCUUAUGUCCAGGGCUACACACGUGCUACAAUGGCCGGUACAACGUGAGGCGACGCCGCAAGGCAAAAGCAAAACACUGAAAGCCGGCCGUAGUUCGGAUUGAAGUCUGAAACUCGACUUCAUGAAGUUGGAAUCGCUAGUAAUCGCGCAUCAGCAUGGCGCGGUGAAUACGUUCCCGGGCCUUGUACACACC
rnacentral:rRNA from 1 species